AGCGAACGCUGGCGGCAGGCCUAACACACGCAAGUCGAACGAACUCUUCGGAGUUAGUGGCGGACGGGUGAGUAACACGUGGGAACGUGCCUUUAGGUUCGGAAUAACUCAGGGAAACUUGUGCUAAUACCGAAUGUGCCCUUCGGGGGAAAGAUUUAUCGCCUUUAGAGCGGCCCGCGUCUGAUUAGCUAGUUGGUGAGGUAAAGGCUCACCAAGGCGACGAUCAGUAGCUGGUCUGAGAGGAUGAUCAGCCACAUUGGGACUGAGACACGGCCCAAACUCCUACGGGAGGCAGCAGUGGGGAAUCUUGCGCAAUGGGCGAAAGCCUGACGCAGCCAUGCCGCGUGAAUGAUGAAGGUCUUAGGAUUGUAAAAUUCUUUCACCGGGGACGAUAAUGACGGUACCCGGAGAAGAAGCCCCGGCUAACUUCGU
rnacentral:rRNA from 1 species